CUACGGGCCGCUCCAGUGGGGAAUAUUGCGCAAUGGGCGAAAGCCUGACGCAGCGACGCCGCGUGAGGGAUGAAGGUCUUCGGAUUGUAAACCUCUUUCAGCAGGGACGAAGCGAAAGUGACGGUACCCGAAGAAGAAGCACCGGCUAACUACGUGCCAGCAGCCGCGGUAAUACGUAGGGUGCAAGCGUUGUCCGGAUUUAUUGGGCGUAAAGAGCUCGUAGGCGGUUAGACACGUCGGAUGUGAAAACUGGGGGCUCAACCCCCAGCCUGCAUUCGAUACGGUCUGACUAGAGUGUGGUAGGGGUAACUGGAAUUCCUGGUGUAGCGGUGAAAUGCGCAGAUAUCAGGAGGAACACCGAUGGCGAAGGCAGGUUACUGGGCCACCACUGACGCUGAGGAGCGAAAGCGUGGGGAGCAAACAGGAUUAGAUACCCGUGUAGUC
rnacentral:rRNA from 1 species